rnacentral:ncRNA from 2 species
CCAAUAGCGUAUAUUAGUGUUGUUGCGGUUAAAAAGCUCGUAGUUGAAUUUCGGGAUUGGGAUAUAUCGGUCAUGCCUUUAGGGGCAUGAAUCGGUGUGUAGCCAAUUUCUCACCUUCUGGUGAAUUGGGAUGCUCUUGGGUGUUUCAAUGAACUAGGACUUUUACUUUGAAAAAAAUAUAGUGUUUAAAGCGGGCAUUUUUGCUUGAAUACAUUAGCAUGGAAUAAUAAAAUAGGACGAUGGUUCUAUUUUGUUGGUUUUAGGACCACGUAAUGAUUAAUAGGGAUAGUUGGGGGCAUUAGUAUUCAAUAGUCAGAGGUGAAAUUCUUGGAUUUAUUGAGGACUAACUACUGCGAAAGCAUUUGCCAAGGAUGUUUUCAUUAAUCAAGAACGAAAGUUAGGGGAUCGAAGACGAUUUAUGUACGUCGUAGUCUUAACCAUAAACUAUGCCGACUAGGAAUCAGACAAAGUUCAUUUUUUAACGACUUGUUUGGUACCUUACG